rnacentral:rRNA from 1 species
UACGGAAGGCAGCAGUGGGGAAUAUUGCACAAUGGGCGCAAGCCUGAUGCAGCCAUGCCGCGUGUAUGAAGAGGGCCUUCGGGUUGUAAAGUACUUUCAGUCGUGAGGAAGGUGUUAAGGUUAAUAACCUUAGCAAUUGACGUUAGCGACAGAAGAAGCACCGGCUAACUCCGUGCCAGCAGCCGCGGUAAUACGGAGGGUGCGAGCGUUAAUCGGAAUUACUGGGCGUAAAGGGCACGCAGGCGGUUAAUUAAGUUGGAUGUGAAAUCCCCGGGCUUAACCUGGGAAUGGCAUUCAAGACUGGUUAGCUAGAGUCUUGUAGAGGGGGUAGAAUUCCAUGUGUAGCGGUGAAAUGCGUAGAGAUGUGGAGGAAUACCGGUGGCGAAGGCGGCCCCUGGACAAAGACUGACGCUCAUGUGCGAAAGCGUGGGGAGCGAAACAGGGAUUAGAUACC